GACGAACGCUGGCGGCGCGCCUAACACAUGCAAGUCGAACGAGCGAGAGAGAGCUUGCUUUCUCCAGCGAGUGGCGAACGGGUGAGUAACGCGUGAGGAACCUGCCUCAAAGAGGGGGACAACAGUUGGAAACGACUGCUAAUAACGCAUAAGCCCACAGGUCGGCAUCGACCAGAGGGAAAAGGAGCAAUCCGCUUUGAGAUGGCCUCGCGUCCGAUUAGCUAGUUGGUGAGGUAACGGCCCACCAAGGCAACGAUCGGUAGCCGGACUGAGAGGUUGAACGGCCACAUUGGGACUGAGACACGGCCCAGACUCCUACGGGAGGCAGCAGUGGGGAAUAUUGCACAAUGGGGGAAACCCUGAUGCAGCGGCGCCGCGUGGAGGAAGAAGGUCUUCGGAUUGUAAACUCCUGUUGUUGAGGAAGAUAAUGACGGUACUCAACAAGGAAGUGACGGCUAACUACGUG
rnacentral:rRNA from 1 species